AUUUAAAUAGUUUAAUAAAAAUUUUGAUUUGUGGAAUCAGGGAUAUGAGUUUUCAUUUUAAAUA
rnacentral:tRNA from 1 species